AAGGAAGCCAGAGUGGAAGCUGUCGGAAGAAUGGGUUUGAGUGAACUUUGGCUGCUCAAUCAAGCAGGCUGAUUACUGAGGAAACAUCAAAAGCUCCACCCGAAUGACUCAUCACCCAGAUCCAACAGAGAUUCCGCUCUUAAAAUUCACUGCAUGGUCUCUACCGACAAGAAGCAAAGGUUCUGUACGGCUACAGCAUUUCAGUUAAAAGACAAGGAAUCCACAUUUUCUUUCAUUUUGCUCUUAGACAGCCAGAAGAGAAUUUGGGGCUGGUAAAAAAAUCAAUAAAACACACUGCCUUAAGGAUUUUCAAGCUUGAAGAUGGGAGAGUGUAAAGAAGCAAUCAUGUAAACAAUAAAUGACAAUACAAAGAAGAAUGAGAAGUAAUGAUCGAAAGGCCCCUCAGUGAGUUGCUGAGCCCAGGCACGAGUGAAGAAACAGGAGUGCUACCAGACUGGCAGCAGAGCAAAGACCAUGCACAUAGGGAGAUUCUCAGAUACUCUCAUCUUAUGUGGGGUGCUAAAGAGGA